GAGGGGCGGACGCAGAGACCGAGCGCCUAAUGUGGCUAGCGGAUCGUCUGCUCCCCGGACCCAGGAACUACCCGAAGCCCGCGCGGACCCACAGACCACCCCCAGCUCCGCCCCGCGAGGCCCCGCCUCUUCAUGCAACCUAAAAGUAACCAACUCCCCCCACGCGAAGGUUCCUAUCGGUCGACGGGCUGUGGGUGUAUUGCUCAGUGACGGCUUCGUUUAGUUUCUCCCAGCACCCAUAAUUCAAAGCAAGAACAACGACAUUAUGGGGAGAAAACGUCCUUUUGUGAAACAGAAGGCAAUCCACACCAUUAGUAAACCCCAUCAAUUUUGCCUUCAGAAUAUAUCCAGAUUCUUCCCAAUUCUACCGCCACCAUUCUGGUUCAAGCUACCUGGAGUCUCAAGAGGGGAAGUGCAAUAGGAUCAGAAAGAAUGUUUGAAGAAAUAAUGGUUGAAAAACUCCCAAAUUUGAUGAAAGAGGUGAAUCUACAUAUCCAAGAAGCUCAAUGAACUCUAAAGAGACCCACACUGAGACGUGUUAUAGUCAAACUGUCAAAAGCCAAAGACAAUGAAAACAACAAGAGAGAAACAACUCAUCACAUACAAGAGAGCCUUAAUAAAAUUACUAGCUGAUUUCUUAUAAAAAACCAUGGAGACCAGAAAAUAAGAAUGUCGAUCAAGAAUUCUAUAUCUGACAAAACUAUUCCUAAAGAAAUUCUCAGAUAAACAAAAGCUACAGAAUUUACUAGUAGACCUGCCCUACAAGAAAUGCUAAAGAGAAUCUCUCAGAUUGAAAUUAAAGGACAUCAGACAGUAACUUGAAGCCAUAUGAAAAAAUAAAGAGCAAUUGUGAAAAAUCUGUCUUUGUUUUUCUAUUCUGUGGCUAGCUCUGUGUUCCCCUUACCAUUCUUUCUGCCUUAAUUUCAUUUACUUUGAGAGCAGUAAUUAUGGCAAACAAACAACAAAAACAACCAGUAGUAGGAGGUAGAAGACAUAUAGAAAUGGUUCCCAAUCAUUUUAAAACUGUGGAUGUAAGGCCAAAUUACUUAAUGUUUAGAAGCCUCAGUUUUCAUAUAAAAUGAAGAGAAUAGUCUGACUCUCACAAGUUGUUAAGAUUAAGAGCAGUUUUGACUGCUAUUAAUUGAAGGAAUUCUCAGAAUAAGGCAUAUUGCUAACAUUUACAGAAAGAUGGUUUUGCAAAGAAAAUUAUCUAUAUAAUGCUGUCCUCUGUCUCUUCCAGCAAUUUGAGUCAGAAUACCUCUAGUUAACAGACAUACCUCUAGAGUAGACCUUAGAUGAACAUAUAAGUAAAUAAUGGCAUAAUGAUCAUCAUAAUCCCAGUAACAUUAGCAGCAACCAAUAUAUACUAUUUAUCAUAUGUCAUGUUAUUCUAGUAAGGUAGGUAUACUAAUAUUCCCAUAUUUAAGAGGAGGAAGCUGAAGCACAGUGAAGUUAAGUGACUUGUCCAAUAUUACACAACUUGUAAGCAGCAGAGUUUUAACUUAGGCAGUAUGAAUCCAAAGACUGUACUUUUCACCACCACAUUAUGCGGCAUCUGUUUCCUCUGUCAAGUACAAGGAACUAGAUUAUAUGGGAUUGUUAUGACUGGCCUGCGUGGUCAGAGUUUGAUAUUGGUCUAUGAGGAACAACAAAGAAUAACACAAAUCAUGGAAGGAGGGAAUUACCCUAAGGCAAAAAGCCAUAAGCAGAUUUAUCCUGUCUUCUGCCACUAUUUCUCAGGCAUUUACAGAGUUGUACUGGGAAAGGAAGGAAUAAAAAGACACUUAAGAGGUUGCUUAAAAUUUUUUUUGAGUUUUGUUAUCAGGUCUAGACUAGAACAUUAUUUUGCUUCUGUGGUUCAGGGUCAACAAAAUAACCCAAUAUUCUAUAACAAAAUAGCCUCUAUCUUAAUUUCCCUUAUCCAGUUAUAGGGAAAUGGGUCCUGGUGGCUCUAACAUGUUUUAAGUUUGUUAAAAGUUUAUUCAUUUAGGCCGGGCGCGGUGGCUCACGCCUGUAAUCCCAGCACU
rnacentral:lncRNA from 10 species